ACCCGCAGCUGUCCUGGCCGGGCCUGCCCUGGGUGUGCCGAGCCUCAGUUUCCCUUGGGAGAGGGUCUCUGCCCACACUUGGGAUCGGAGACGGCGAUUGGUGCCGUGCCCGCUGCCCCGCACACCCAGACCCUCCCCCGGCCGCAUUUUGUUUGACGCUGAGACGAGCCCGCUCCUGGCUGCACUGUGGCACGUGUGACACCAAAUCUGCCGUUUCACCUGUGUGAGAUGCACGAUUCAAUGGCGUUUACUGCAUUUCACGUCGUGCAACCACCGCCUCUCAGCUUCCAGACAUUUCCCUCACCCUCAGAAGGAGACCCCACCCCCGUUGGCAGUUCCCCUCCAGUCCCCCAGCCCCUGGCAGCCACAGUCUGCCCUCCAAGCCCGUGGACUUGCUGGGUGUGGACACGUUGGUGUCUGAGGACACGGGACACGGGCACGAGGCCAGCCCAGCCGUGGCGAUGGUGGUCAUGGAGGCGAGUGGGCCGCGGUGCUCUGCACCCAGGAGCUGGCCGGGGAGGCGCGGCCUGUGGCCGGGGCAGCUCCUUACCCAGACAGAGGCCCCCGAGCUGAGCCGGAGGCCCGACAGGCAGCUGGCACGGACCUGCGUGCUUGCGGGCAGCUGUCGACCCUCCUUCCCCUCGGCCACCCCCUGCCCAGCCCCUCUCUGGAGCCUGCUGGGGCUCCCCCCGCCCCGGCCUCCUUCCAAGUAGGGGGGCUGCCAUGAAGGCUCGAGGACACUCGGCCGGGUCAGUCGGACAGUUCCCGAGCCUCGGGAGGUGCACGGCCACAGCACCGGCGGCUGAUAGACCCCUGGCUCCUCCAGGGACCCCUCCAUCAGACCCUCAGGUGCCCACAUCUUCUAGAAGCUCUGUCCUGGGCGCUGGGAGGCUUGUCCUCGGCUGGAGGCUGGAGGUGGCCAAGAAGGCAGAGGAAGAGCCGUGAUCUGGUCGGACCUGCAGGCCCUGGUGGGGGCAGCCCCGGCCAUGGGGGCCCCUGGUGCUGAGGCCCAAGGGGCCGAGCUGACUCCUCCGAGGCCUGGGGACAUGGGGGCUUCUCCGUGUGCCUGCUCCAGUCCUUACGUAUUUGUUGUAAUGUGUGGACACCAACUUCGCGGGCAGCGUGGCUUGGGGGCUGAGAGCCUGAGAAACGCAUCCCGGUCCCCGUGCGUGUCCAAGGGAAAUCAGCCCCCAUCACUUCAUCCUGUCGCCAAGCUCAUGGCCCGAGGAGCCCCCAUCCCUGCCGCAUCUGACGUGCGGAGUGGACCGUGCUUUCCGGGCUAACGCGGAGCCGGCGCGGCCAGCGGCCCUAAUUGGGCAGGCGCCGGGUUCCAUACACCAGGCCCCGUGGGCACAAGGCGCCACCGGCUGUGCCAGGGGGCGCGGGAGGGGGCUCCUGCCUGUGUGCCGUGGCAAUGGAAAAGGAGGUGGACCAGCUGGUCUCCGGAGGAUUUUCCAGCUGGACUCUCGAGUUUCCGGCAUCUUCUACUCAUCACCCAUGAGCUCAUAGUGACCAAGGCCUGCCCAGCCCUGUCCAUCGUCUGGGCCCUGUGCAUGGGACAGAGGGAGAGUGGGAGCCACAGAAGGUGCUUGAGGAGGAGAGGCUCUCCAUGGGGAGGCCCCUGCCACAGACCCAGCCAAGCCGGGGCCAGGCGGGGUGUGGGCUGGACGGGGCAGGGAGAGGGCUGGGGCUCGACCCGGGGCUUUGGACCCUGGGUGUGUGGGGAGGGGAACCCGUUGAGCCUGGGCUGGACCCACAGACAGGGCACCAGUGGCAGGGAGACGCUGGCUGAGGCCUGGGCUCAAGAGUGGCACCAAGGUCCCCCGGGGUCUUCUCCACGUCCUCCCGGUUGUCCUGCCCGCCCGGGUGUUUUUCCUCCUGAGCCGCCUGGGGCUGGGCCUGGAGCCCCUGUGUGUUUGGCUGCACCUGAGGCCUGGCUCCCCCUCCAAGGUGACCCCAAGACCCUCCUGCAUCCCGCCCCAGCCGCCAAGGCCUCGGGAGCCGGCCCCGCUCGUGGGAGGCUCCUUCCUCUCCCCUCCCUGCUGGCUCCCCGCCCCAGGCCAGGGCUGCCUUCUUUCUGGAAAUCUCUGCACCUCACCCUCCUGGCUAACGUCUUCCAUGAGGUCUCGGCAUAAACCCCACGCCCCGUGGCCUCCUGGGCCCUCACUGGCACGCUCGUCCUCCGAGCCCCUGUGGGCACCGCGUGCGUCUUCUUCCCGGCCCAGGUCACGUCUCGUGGCUCUGCUGGCCUCCGUGUGCGGUGGCAGGUGUCAGCCCCCCGAGGAAGGGAUCACUGCGACCAUCGCAGCCACUGUGCACGGGGACAUGGGGUCACGGGGGGUCCCCAUCUCCACUUUGGAGAUGGGAAGCAGAGGCUCACGGCACCAGAACCCUCCCUGGCUCCCCCACCGUGGGGCCCUUGCAGGCGGCUGAGGUGGGGGCUCGGCCGGGCAGGGGAGCAGGCGCCAGAGCUAACGGUGGGCGGAGGCGGGGGCCACCGGCUGGGAGAGCCUGAGGACCACGCAGUGCUGCACACACGUGCACACACACUCGUGCACACACAGACACAAGCGCACGGGCGGCAGAGUCGGGGGGGCUGGGUGUGGGCAGGUGACCGGUGGCGGGUCUGACGGGCGUCCCAGGCUCGGCCCAUGGUGUGCCGGCCGCUGGCUUGUCCGCAGACCUGCUUCCUUCCCCCUGCCCCGCUCCAGGAGGGGGUGAACCUGCUCUGAGCACCCCGUCUGCCAGCACGUGCUACGGGCCGGGAGGCACCUGGGGAAGGACAGACGGUCUCUGUCCUCGGGACCGAAAGUCCAGUUGGAGGGCAAGUUCUGGGGAGGCAGUUCUUAGCUUGACGUAAGAAUAACUUUUACAGCACACGUUUACCAGCGGGAUGAAUGACUAAAUGAAGGCGGCGAGUUCCUUCCGCUCGAAAGAUCCUGGCAAAG